rnacentral:lncRNA from 1 species
GUUGAGUUCCCCUCUGCUCCCACAGAAGACAAGGAGAAGGAAUGUCACAGGGGCUUGAGUAUCCCUCUAGGGAAGAGUGGCUGGAACACCUAAUGUGAAAGUUUGGGGAAUCUUUGGCUGCUGAGAGCUCAGAGGGAUGAUGAUAUAACAUUGGAGAAAGGAUGUUGGAACCUCACCCACCUGUGUUUGCCUUCCCAUGCAACUGGAGCAGUGGAAGUUAGAAAGUAGGGUAUGAAAAACGACUGGAAGCAGAGAUCCUCUCCCACAGAGGGGUAGAAUUGGAAGACGCACUCAGAAAGCCUUACGGCCAACCUCCUCAGUUUUCAUACAGGCAAACUAAAUAUUACAGAUGGGAAAAUGGUAAGUAUUUAAAUAUUUAUUGAGCAUCUAGUAUAUGCCAAACACUGUGUUAAGCAUUGAAGGUACAAGAGAAAACAACAUAGAUGAGUCUCUGCCUUCUGCAAUGUAGAGGUCCUGAGAGGUGA